AUUGAACGCUGGCGGCAGGCCUAACACAUGCAAGUCGAGCGGAGCGGCGGACGGGUGAGUAAUGCCUAGGAAUCUGCCUGGUAGUGGGGGAUAACGUCCGGAAACGGGCGCUAAUGCCGCAUACUAUCAGAUGAGCCUAGGUAGGAUUAGCUAGUGGGUGGGGUAAAGGCCUACCAAGGCGACGAUCCUUAACUUGUCGGAGUGUAUGCUCAGUCAACCGGUAACUGGGACACGGUCCAGACUCCUACGGGAGGCAGCAGUGGGGAAUAUUGGACAAGGGGCUAAAGCCUGAUCCAGCCAGGCCGCGUGUGUGAAGAAGGUCUUCGGAUUGUAAAGCACUUUAAGUUGGGAGGCGUUACCAACAGAAUAAGCACCGGCUAACUUCGUGCCAGCAGCCGCGGUAAUUC
rnacentral:rRNA from 1 species